rnacentral:rRNA from 1 species
ACGCGAAAGAGGGGGCAAUCCUUCGAGUAGAGUGGCGAACGGGUGAGUAACGCGUGAGAAACCUGCCUUCAUCAGGGGGAUAACACUCCCAACGGGGUGCUAAUACCGCAUGAGACCACGGGAUCGCAUGGUCCUGAGGUCAAAGGUGGCCUCUAUUUAUAAGCUACCGGAUGGAGGUGGUCUCGCGUCCCAUUAGCUAGUUGGCGGGGUAAUGGCCCACCAAGGCGACGAUGGGUAGCUGGUCUGAGAGGAUGGUCAGCCACACUGGGACUGAGAUACGGCCCAGACUCCUACGGGAGGCAGCAGUCGAGAGGCUUCGGCAAUGGGGGCAACCCUGACCGAGCGACGCCGCGUGGGGGAUGAAGGCCCUUGGGUUGUAAACCCCUUUUGUUCGGGAAGAAGUGCGAUCAGGUUAAUAAUCUGGUCGUUUGACGGUACCGGACGAAUAAGCUCCGGCUAACUCCGUGCCAGCAGCCGCGGUAACACGGGGGGAGCAAGCGUUGUUCGGAAUCACUGGGCGUAAAGGGCGUGUAGGCGGUCAGGUAAGUGGGACGUGAAAUGCCUCGGCUA